UUAACUCACAGCGCUGUACAGCUGCAAGUGGCCUUGUCAACACUGGUUCUCCACUUGUAAGGUGGAAUUCAGCCCAUUGUGGAGGGUCUUUUGCACAGUGACCAGCACAAGGACAGGAGGAGUGUCUACACAGAAGUUGCUGCCCCCCACCCCUCCCAAUGGAUGCAGUCUCAAUGCUGGGUCUGUAUGAGUCAGCAGAAAGAAGAAUAUUGGAGUGUCAUUCCAGAUAGGGUCUAGAUGUUCAACUCACCUCUUGGAUUUCCGGAUCAUCAUCAGCCAGGAUCUCUAACAACAGCGUCUGAAUGGCUUCCCCAGGGGCAAAGUGCCUGGCGGAGUCUGUGGCUUGGACAGCAGAGAAAUGGUUGAGGCUCAGCUUGGACAAGAUGGCAAUUAUACUGAAAAGAUGAAAAUUCCAUAUGGAUCAUCAUUAGCUAGAACAGUUAAUGCAGCGUUAGUACGAAUUCCAAGACGACCACUGGAAACAUUGAUGAUCAAAACAGAAAACAUCUUAUCCAGUUCAGGAUACUCAUCAGGUUCUGUCCCAUUGACCAAGAGCGACUCAGCACUGAACUCAAACACACCAUGAGCAUCAUCAGAGGCAUCGAUGGUCACUAUGACGUGGGAUGCUAUUCCCAGGCUGGCUGUAGGUAC